rnacentral:rRNA from 1 species
CAGGUCUUGACAUCCUCUGACACUCCUAGAGAUAGGACGUUCCCCUUCCGGGGACAGAGUGACAGGUGGUGCAUGGUUGUCGUCAGCUCGUGUCGUGAGAUGUUGGGUUAAGUCCCGCAACGAGCGCAACCCUUGAUCUUANUUGCCAGCAUUCAGUUGGGCACUCUAAGGUGACUGCCGGUGACAAACCGGAGGAAGGUGGGGAUGACGUCAAAUCAUCAUGCCCCUUAUGACCUGGGCUACACACGUGCUACAAUGGAUGGUACAAAGGGCUGCAAAACCGUGAGGUCNAGCCAAUCCCAUAAAACCAUUCUCAGUUCGGAUUGUAGGCUGCAACUCGCCUACAUGAAGCUGGAAUCGCUAGUAAUCGUGGAUCAGCAUGCCACGGUGAAUACGUUCCC